GUGAAUCAUCAAAUUUUUGAACGCAAAUUGCACUCUCUGGUAUUCCGGAGAGUAUGCCUGUUUGAGGGUCAGUUAAAAUAAAAAUCGGUGUGGUCGCGCCUUUCCGUGGUGCCGCACGGGAUUAGGGUCGUCUUGCUUUGGUUUAAGUGACUUAAAAUUUUCCAUGAUUUUUCUCGAACGUAUUUAAAUGAUUUUACGUAUGUUUGCGAUCUCGUAUACUA
rnacentral:misc_RNA from 1 species